CAGUAGGGAAUCUUCCGCAAUGGGCGAAAGCCUGACGGAGCAACGCCGCGUGAGUGAUGAAGGUCUUCGGAUCGUAAAACUCUGUUAUUAGGGAAGAACAUAUGUGUAAGUAACUGUGCACAUCUUGACGGUACCUAAUCAGAAAGCCACGGCUAACUACGUGCCAGCAGCCGCGGUAAUACGUAGGUGGCAAGCGUUAUCCGGAAUUAUUGGGCGUAAAGCGCGCGUAGGCGGUUUUUUAAGUCUGAUGUGAAAGCCCACGGCUCAACCGUGGAGGGUCAUUGGAAACUGGAAAACUUGAGUGCAGAAGAGGAAAGUGGAAUUCCAUGUGUAGCGGUGAAAUGCGCAGAGAUAUGGAGGAACACCAGUGGCGAAGGCGACUUUCUGGUCUGUAACUGACGCUGAUGUGCGAAAGCGUGGGGAUCAAACAGGAUUAGAUACCCUGGUAGUCCACGCCGUAAACGAUGAGUGCUAAGUGUUAGGGGGUUUCCGCCCCUUAGUGCUGCAGCUAACGCAUUAAGCACUCCGCCUGGGGAGUACGACCGCAAGGUUG
rnacentral:rRNA from 1 species